rnacentral:rRNA from 1 species
GUGUCAGCCGCCGCGGUAAUACAGAGGUCCCAAGCGUUACUGAGAAUCACUGGGUUUAAAGGGUGCGUAGGUGGUCCGUUAAGUCAGUUGUGAAAUCCCCGGGCUCAACCCGGGAACUGCUUCUGAUACUGGCGGACUUGAGGCCAGUAGAGGUCACUGGAACUGACGGUGGAGCGGUGAAAUGCGUAGAUAUCGUCAGGAACGCCGGUGGUGAAGACGGGUGACUGGGCUGGUUCUGACACUGAGGCACGAAAGCGUGGGGAGCGAACGGGAUUAGAAACCCUAGUAGUCC